rnacentral:rRNA from 1 species
GAUGAACGCUGGCGGCGUGCCUAAUACAUGCAAGUCGAGCGAACAGACGAGGAGCUUGCUCCUCUGACGUUAGCGGCGGACGGGUUAGUAACACGUGGAUAACCUACCUAUAAGCCUGGGAUAACUUCGGGAAACCGGAGCUAAUACCGGAUAAUCUAUUGAACAGAAUGGUUCAAUAGUGAAAGACGGUUUUGCUGUCACUUAUAGAUGGAUCCGCGCCGCAUUAGCUAGUUGGUAAGGUAACGGCUUACCAAGGCAACGAUGCGUAGCCGACCUGAGAGGGUGAUCGGCCACACUGGAACUGAGACACGGUCCAGACUCCUACGGGAGGCAGCAGUAGGGAAUCUUCCGCAAUGGGCGAAAGCCUGACGGAGCAACGCCGCGUGAGUGAUGAAGGUCUUCGGAUCGUAAAACUCUGUUAUUAGGGAAGAACAAAUGUGUAAGUAACUAUGCACGUCUUGACGGUACCUAAUCAGAAAGCCACGGCUAACUACGUG